CCUCACGGUGUGCUCUGAGCGUCUUCAUAAGACAGAGCUGCAGCAGAGUGACACAGAGCACAUCAGGCGGGACCUAACGCAGAUUCCUUAAUCUACCGGAGAUCAUCUGAAUCUGGAUCUGCAGGGGUGUGAUCUCCCCGAGUGAUUCUUCUGCAUCCUCCAGGGUGAAGAGCAAGCAUUAAUAGCAGUGCCAAGAACCGCCGGCCCAAUCAGAGCCUGAGUUCCGCUUUAAGGUGCAAGUAACCAAGAAGAAGGUGGGGAGGCAGGAUAACCAGAGCAAAACUGUUAACCCUGCUACACUCUGGAAUCAUUCUGUGUGCUGUCAAUUCUCAAGAAUCAAAGCCAAAGUAGGUAUGCAAAUCUUUAUAUGUUCAGGUAUGAAAUAGUUAAUAUUGGGACCAUGUACCAAUUUUUGUAACCAUUUUUCCCCUUCAGUUAGUUAUAGCUGAAUAUCCCUGCCCCUUUUCAUUGCUUGUCUCUUCACCUCAUUUCCUUGCUAAUUUCGUCUUGUCUUCCUUCCUUCCCCAGAAUGUUCUCCCACUGCCUCCCCCGUGCUUCUACCUGAAGGUGAGAGCCAGGUUGUGCUACUGCCUUCUGUGUACAUAUGUAAACGGUCUCUCAUUAUUGAGAAAGAAGUGACGCAAGAGACUUCGGAAGUGCAGAAAAAAAGUAAAUCUAUAGACAGAGAUCUUUGAGGAAGUAGGAAAGAACUUUUCUUCAAAAACUACUAAGCACUGCGAGAAAUCUGUUUCUUGCAAAACUAAAGAUGUUGGACAUGGAUGGUGAAGAGAUAAACUUUCCAUUCUGGUCUGUAGGGAAAUCAGAGAUUAAACAAAAAAUCAUUGGCAGGGGUUGGCAGGGAGCAGCCCAGUGGUGUAGUGAUUAAGUUUGCAUGCUCCACUUUGGUGGCCCAGGGUUUGUGAGUUCAGAUCCCAGGUGUGGACCUACAUACCACUCAUCAAGCCAUGCUGUGGUGGUGUCCCACAUACAAAGUAGAGGAAGAUUGGCACAGAUGUUAGCUCAGGGCCAAUCUUCCUUACCAAAAAAUAAAAUAAAAUAAAUUUUUUGGGUUCUUUACUCUCUAAGAGUAUUUCUUCCCUCCCACACACCUAUUCACACUCACUAGAUGCUAUGGUAGUGGCAGUGCUCAUGGCUGUCAUGAAG
rnacentral:lncRNA from 1 species